CUAGGGGAUCUGAGAGGAUGGCCCCCCACACUGGUACUGAGACCCGGACCAGACUCCUACGGGAGGCAGCAGUAAGGAAUAUUGGUCAAUGGGCGCAAGCCUGAACCAGCCAUGCCGCGUGCAGGAAGACGGCCCUCCGGGUUGUAAACUGCUUUUGUACGGGAAUAAACCUCUCUACGUGUAGGGAGCUGAAUGUACCGUAAGAAUAAGGAUCGGCUAACUCCGUGCCAGCAGCCGCGGUAAUACGGAGGAUCCAAGCGUUAUCCGGAUUUAUUGGGUUUAAAGGGUGCGUAGGCGGCCUGUUAAGUCAGGGGUGAAAGACGGUGGCUCAACCAUCGCAGUGCCCUUGAUACUGAUGGGCUUGAAUAGACUAGAGGUAGGCGGAAUGUGACAAGUAGCGGUGAAAUGCAUAGAUAUGUCACAGAACACCGAUUGCGAAGGCAGCUUACUAUGGUCUGAUUGACGCUGAGGCACGAAAGCGUGGGGAUCGAACAGGAUUAGAUACCCUGGUAGUCCACGCCCUAAACGAUGAACACUCGCUGUUGGCGAUAAACGGUCAGCGGCUAAGCGAAAGCGUUAAGUGUUCCACCUGGGGAGUACGCCCGCAAGGGUGAAACUCAAAGGAAUUGACGGGGGCCCGCACAAGCGGAGGAGCAUGUGGUUUAAUUCGAUGAUACGCGAAGGAACCUUACCCGGGGCUUGAAAGUUAGUUGAAGUAUCCAGAGAAUGGAUGCGCCUCCUUCGGGGCACGAAAACUAGGUUGCUGCAUGGGCUGAUCGUCAGCUACGUGCCGUGGAAGGUGUUGAGGUUAAGUCCCGGCAACGAGUCGCAACCCCUAUGCAAUAGUUUGCCAGCAUGUACACGGUGGGGAAAUCUAUUCAGAAACUGCCUGUGCAAACAGAGAGGAAGGAGGGGACGACGUCAAGUCAUCAUGGCCCUUACGUCCGGGGCUACACACGUGCUACAAUGGACGGUACAGAGGGCAGCUAUCCGGCAACGGAAUGCCAAUCUCAAAAAGCCGUUCACAGUUCGGAUCGGGGUCUGCAACUCGACCCCGUGAAGUUGGAUUCGCUAGUAAUCGCGUAUCAGCAAUG
rnacentral:rRNA from 1 species